CUUCUCUUCGGUUUAUGGUACUAUUAUUAUUAUUAUUUCAUAUUUCCUUAUACUAAGCUGCCCUGCCACGAUGGUCAGCUUCAAAUAUUGGGAUGAGUGUGUUGAUCCUGAGGAUUUGGAAGCAAUGUGGAAUCGACCUGCAGUGAGAAAAGAGUGGACUGAUGUCGGGGAGACUCAAGGACAAAAAGUUCACCUAUCAAGGGAUCCUGACGGGCAGCCUUAUUUGACACAAACAGAGAUGAGGGCUGUUGCGGAAAUUGUAACUAGCAGACAUUUUGAUAC